rnacentral:rRNA from 1 species
GACGUAGGGCGCGAGCGUUGUCCGGAUUUAUUGGGCGUAAAGAGCUCGUAGGCGGUCUGUCGCGUCGGCUGUGAAAACCCGGAGCUCAACUCCGGGCCUGCAGUCGAUACGGGCAAACUGGAGUGUUGCAGGGGAGACUGGAAUUCCUGGUGUAGCGGUGAAAUGCGCAGAUAUCAGGAGGAACACCGGUGGCGAAGGCGGGUCUUUGGGCAACAACUGACGCUGAGGAGCGAAAGCGUGGGGAGCGAACAGG